AACGUACGCUGGCGGCAUGCCUAACACAUGCAAGUCGAACGAGACCUUCGGGCCUAGUGGCGCACGGGUGCGUAACGCGUGGGAACCUGCCCUUAGGUUCGGAAUCACUCACCGAAAGGGAUGCUAAUACCGGUUAAUGUCUUAGGACCAAAGAUUUAUCGCCUUUGGAUGGGCCCGCGUUGGAUUAGCUAGUUGGUAGGGUAAAAGCCUACCAAGGCGACGAUCCAUAGCUGGUCUGAGAGGAUGAUCAGCCACACUGGGACUGAGACACGGCCCAGACUCCUACGGGAGGCAGCAGUGGGGAAUAUUGGACAAUGGGCGAAAGCCUGAUCCAGCAAUGCCGCGUGAGUGAUGAAGGCCUUAGGGUUGUAAAGCUCUUUUACCCGGGAUGAUAAUGACAGUACCGGGAGAAUAAGCUCCGGCUAACUCCGUG
rnacentral:rRNA from 1 species